GACGAACGCUGGCGGCGUGCUUAACACAUGCAAGUCGAACGGAAAGGCCCUGCUUUUGUGGGGUGCUCGAGUGGCGAACGGGUGAGUAACACGUGAGUAACCUGCCCUUGACUUUGGGAUAACUUCAGGAAACUGGGGCUAAUACCGGAUAGGAGCUCCUGCUGCAUGGUGGGGGUUGGAAAGUUUCGGCGGUUGGGGAUGGACUCGCGGCUUAUCAGCUUGUUGGUGGGGUAGUGGCUUACCAAGGCUUUGACGGGUAGCCGGCCUGAGAGGGUGACCGGCCACAUUGGGACUGAGAUACGGCCCAGACUCCUACGGGAGGCGGCAGUGGGGAAUAUUGCACAAUGGGCGGAAGCCUGACGCAGCAACGCCGCGUGCGGGAUGACGGCCUUCGGGUUGUAAACCGCUUUCGCCUGUGACGAAGCGUGAGUGACGGUAAUGGGUAAAGAAGCACCGGCUAACUACGUG
rnacentral:rRNA from 1 species